GCUGUUUACCUCUUCCCCAACGUUAUUGCAUGGGGAUGCAUGCCGAGGGUCGCCCCCAAAUUACGGGGGGAAGUUUGGUGGAGGGCUACCUUCAGACUCCCAAAGUUCCCUUCUCUGCCAAUUUAUGAAGGGUUCCUGCGGGGUGAACCCCUUCCCCAGCACAGACGGGGGCGAUGGGCCUGGAGGGCCCCAUCCCUCUCACCGCCCCCCGCCCGCCCCAGGAAGGUGGAAUUGGGCUUCUGUCAAUUACAACGCAAACAAUGCUGACAAAUACAUCCUUCUGCUGCUGAGAAACUAUCAACA